GAAGAAAUAGAUCGUAUAAAUCGAUCACUCGGGGCAACUGUGCCCAUUUUUGAUUUACUUCAAAAACCUAAACUGCAUUUGUCUCCCAGUCCCUCUGCAUCCGAGUACCUGCUAAAUCUGUCUCAUUUUCAUCCAGUGUUUCCACUCCGGGGUGUAAAGUAGCUGCUUGUUCUGCUCUGGCCUAAAGACACACCCACACGAACCCCCCACUGUCACAGUCGAGGCAAAUAUAGUCGCGUGGACCAGACUAGAAGAAACCCCCCACCCUCCUCUGACCCGCUCCUUACGCAAAUAAACCUCUGAAGGUUAUGUGAGUGUUUAGACGGAGGCUGGCGUUAAGGAGGAGAGACGUGGACGCUACCGAUCACCAUGGCUUCCACCCCCUCGGCCUCUGCCCUGUCCGCUGUUCUCCGGUGCCGGGGGAAUAUCUGGACGAGGAAUCCGCCGGCCAAGCGGCCUGCCAGCUCGGCGUACGGCCUAGGACUGGCCGGCGGGGCGCUGCGCGACUCUCCGGGCGAGCGCAGCGGCUCACACCAGGCGUCAGCGGCGGAGGCUUCUCCACACGGAGAGUGUGUGGUGGUCCUGGUGGGAAGAAGGCUGAUUGUUUCGUACAGGUCGGACAGAGUGGGGGGUAAAGUUUCCAGGGAAGUGAGUGGAUUACGUUACCCAAAACUUUCGCAAUCUCCAGCGCACGCGCACUCAGCUGCGCCUGCGCUGGUGCGCGUACUAGCGAGCAGACUGUCUGGAAAUAAUAAAUGCUCUAAAAUAAUUCAGAUUAAAGAUCCUGCACACAUCCGCAAAAGCGCUUUGGUUAAAGACACGAGUGAAAUCUCUGCGAGCGUCCUGAAGCUGUCCGUGACGUCCCCUCCGUGUUUAGUGGGACAAAUCCCGUCCUUCAUGUUAAACGGCUGGUCUGUACUGAGGAGCACGUGCUUGUCUGUGACUUGUCUGGUGUCCAAAAUUCUGUUUUUGAAUUUGGGAGAUGUGCGUAGCUCAGGCAGCAGCCCCGAUGAAGCACCACGACAUCUGCUGUGCCAGCGGGAUGAGAACAACUCCAGCAGCCGGAGCCUCCAGGCAAACAAACAGACCUCUUACAAGAACAACUCCAGCUCAGCACAAAAGAUCACACAGGAAGGACCUGACUGAGUCCAAGGCCUCAGCGCCACAAAGAAGCAUUGCGAUCAACAUCAUUUAUUGACUUUUCAGGACACACACCACAUCUGGACUUCAACCUGCUGAUAGAAACCAACCAGCUGUUUUUCAUGGCACACUAACCAGUGGCAAAUGAAUGGAAGAACCAGAAUGAAGUGUUUGAAAUGAAGCGUUGAGCCUCCACAAACACCAUUAGUGCUGUUUGGCAGCGACUCUCUAAAUCUCUGAUUUGGGCAAGACCAUAUUUACUGUAAAAAAAUGUUUUCCCUUAUCUGUUUUUUUGAUGAUAAUGGUCGAGGGCAAAGUCCCACAUGGAUUAGUGAUCAAUUAGAUUGAGAUCAGAUUGAGUCGCAUACUGUGGCAAAGGCUACAGCGUGUGGUUUGCAACAUUUUCACCCUCUUAAGACUUUUCAGUGGUUGGGGAUAUGUCAUCAUGGAAGAGCCCACUCCCACCAGGACAAAAAUAUUUAAUCAUUAAGCUGAUGUUUCUGCAUAACUUUGUAUUGAUUUGAAGUGGAUCACCACUGCAGGGGCCUACAGCGAGUUCCCCCUCUGUAGGGUUCAGUGGUUCUGGUUUUUUCCUUUAAUUUGCCACUUGUCUGUAUGAGCAACAAGAAACAAGCAUGUAUUGCAAGUCUUCUGAAUGGAUAUGCUCACCUUGCGUGCUGCAGAUACUCUGUUUGUCAGGGCUCAGUGUUUCCAGUGGGAGAAACGUGUUCUCGCUCGUCCAGGUGACCUCUUCGGUCCCCGCAGACAGAAGAAGUCGGCCGUCUGCAGGUUUCUCCAGCCAACUGAAAAUGCUGCGCUCAGAUGAGCAGAAUCAACUGUCUGCAUUAAAACUCUCACCCUGCAUAAUUUGCACAAAAGCUCAUUUUACAGAGACCGUGACACAAACUUCCUCUUUAAAUUGGAGUUAAAAUAAAGCCUCAAGAAACACACCAAUGCACACUGAGUAAAAACGAUAUAAAUGUGUGGAAAUAAUUAAAAGACGUCCACUGUUUUUAUACAGUGCACAAAACAUAAAUAUUCUGUGCCAGCGGAACAUAUACCAACAUACCCUACCAGUCUAAAAUGUGAAAACACCUUCUCAUUUAAUGUUUUUUUUUCUUUAUUUUCAUGAGUAUUUAAAUUGUAGGCAUCAAAACUAUGAAAGCACAUUACUGCUUUGCACAAGCUUGGAAUUUUCUCGUUGAGCUGAAUGCCAUUUCACCUGAAAUGGUUCUCCAACAGACCUGAAGGAGUUCCCAGAGAUGUGGAGCACUCGUUGGUUCUUUUGCAUUCACUCUGCAGUCAGUCUCAUCCCAAACCAUCUCCACUGGGUUCAGGUCAGGUGAUUGUGGAGGCCAGACCAUCUGGUGCAGCACUCCAUUGCUCUCCUUCUUCGUCAAACAGCCCUUACACAGCCUGGAGGUGUUUGAAUAAAUCUCCAACAGUGUCACCAGCAAAGCACCCCCACACCAUCACACCUCCUCCUCCAUGCUUCUCGGUGGGAACCAUGCAUGUAGAGACCAUUCACUUUUUCUGCGUCACACAAAGACACGGCGAGUGAAACCAAAGAUCUUACAUUUAGAGUCAACAGACCAAGGCACAUGUUUCCACUGGUCUGAUGCCCAUUCCUUGUGUUUCUUGGCCCAAACAAAUCUCUUCUACUUGUUGUUUUUCCUUAGUAGUAGUUUCUUAGCAGCUAUUUGACCAUAAAGGCCUGAUUCACACAGUCUCCUCUUAACAGUUGAUGUAGAGAUGUGUCUACUCCUGGAACUCUGUGUGGCAUUUAUCUGGGCUCUAAUCUGAGGUGCUGUUAACUUGUGAUUUCUGAGGUAACUCAGAUGAAUUUAUCCUUAGCGGCAGAGGUGACUCUUGCUCUUGGGGCGGUGCUCAUGUGAACCAGUUGCAACGUAACGUUUGAACUCUGGCAAACGUACACCUGUGAGUGAAAACCAUUUAAGGUGACUACAUCAUGAAGCUCACUGAGAAAAGGCCAAGAGUUUGCAGCGCUGUCAACAAAGGAAAGGGCGGCUACUUCCAGGAAUCUAACAUAUAAAACAUAUUUAGAAUUAUUUUUCUGUUUUUUGCUACAUAAUUCCAUGUAUUUGAUGUUUUCAGUAUCUACAAUAUAUAAAGUAAGAAAAAGAAAGAAAACCAUUAAAUGAGAGGGUGUGUCCAAACUUCUUACUGGUAGUGUAUGUUUGACUUUUUUAAACCUCUACCAGGCUACUGUGCACCAUUUAGUAGCCACAUGUUAGACAUGCACAUUUUGAUACUGCUUUAAAAUAACUGACCAGAGACUCUGUCAAAGGUCACUUGCUUCAGAAGGGACUUCUGGGAUCCAUACAUUUUUAUUUUUUUAUUGACAUUUUUUGAAAAGUGACCCUGCGCAAUAUUAACAUAAAUAUUGUCAUUUGAUACGUUGUACCAGAGUUACCUUAAAGCUAAUUUGCCUCUCCACUCCCCACAACACUUCCACGCACCGAUGAGCACCAAACACGAAAAGACGUCAGUAUUUAUAAGCCUGUGAGUCUCUUAGCAAAUCUUUCAGUCUGCUGAUAGAGAUAGAGUUGCAGUUCUUCAUGAGAUCAGCAGGAUAUUCCUUUGAGUUCAGGAUUUCACAGAGAGAAAAGCAAAGAGAGGAAAAGUUAAGUACAGUCUUCAGUUGAAUUUUUGAUUUUAUGGAUCUUUUAUGGAUUCUCCUGGGUGGAGCCUAUCCCAGCUGUCAUAGGGCCAGAGGCGGGGCACACCCUGGACAGGUCACCAGUCUGUCGCAGGGCCAACACACAGAGGCAGACAACCCUUCACGCUCACAUUCACACCUAUGGACAUUUCCCUACAAACUGCAUGUCUUUGGACGGUGGGAGGAAGCCAGAGUACCCAUCUCAUCUGUUCAAAAGGACACUGAUCCAGAAGUCUUUUGAUUUGAUCAGACUAAAGUUUCUAAACCUUAGCUGUACUGAUGUGUUCUUUAUGGAGAAGAAGCUUUCUCUAAAAAUCCAUCAAGUCAUUAUUUUUCAAUUGUUUUCUGAUUCUAUUGUCAUGAAAUUUAACAUGCUAACUGUCUUAGAUGGAGCUCUUGGGUUUUUUAGAGUUUCUCUGAGCAUUACUCUGACACUGGGCUGAAUUUGCUGGGAUGCCUUUGCCAUUGUGUUAACAGACCUCCAAAACUUGUGUUUGUGUAGAGGCAUUCACAAUAAUAACUAUGGAUACAUUAAGGGUGUAGCACAUUUUUCACAUGCUGCAUCUGCAUUUUGGCUUAUAUAAAUAAUGGCCCUGAGUAAUAUGUCAUAGCUUAUUGCUCAUCUGAGGUUCUAUGAUUUUAUUACUCGAUGAUAUUUAAAACCUAAAAAACUGAAACAAGGUGUACUUUUUGUAUUUCUCCAACAUUAAGUCUGCCAACAUAAACCUCCAAAACAAAACAUUAAUAAAAAUAAUAUCGUGGCAAUACACUGUUUUUGUAUUGUCCACUAUGUCCUCAUGUAA
ensembl:lncRNA